rnacentral:sRNA from 1 species
GGUCGUAUCGAUUCGAUUGGGAUACUCAUCAAUUAAAAUCGAAAAACCGAGAUGACUUCUCUUGUCAAUGGCGGGCCACAUACCACAUAAGCGGUAAGCUGAAAAGCCGGUGGAUUACAAAGGCGGAGAGCUCUCAAAUCUUAUAUGACUCGGAGUUUUCAUCACAUCAUCGGUACGACCUCUUAC